rnacentral:tRNA from 1 species
GCGGGGGUGCCGGAGUGGUCAAACGGGCUACGUUCAGGGCGUAGUAGCUUAGUGCUUACGAGGGUUCGAACCCCUUCCCCCGCA